GCCUGGGUGGCUCAGUGGGUUAAAGCCUCUGCCUUCAGCGCAGGUCAUGAUCUCAGGGUUGUGGGAUCGAGUCCCACAUCAGGCU
rnacentral:tRNA from 1 species